rnacentral:tRNA from 1 species
GGGGUUGUGGCUCAGCAAUAGAGCACUCUUCUAGCACAUGAGAGGUCCUGGGUUCAAUCCUCAGCACCACA